UACGUAGGCAGCAAGCGUUGUUCGGAGUUACUGGGCGUAAAGGGUGCGUAGGCGGCUUUUUAAGUUUGGUGUGAAAUCUCCCGGCUCAACUGGGAGGGUGCGCCGAAUACUGAGAGGCUAGAGUGUGGGAGAGGAAAGUGGAAUUCCUGGUGUAGCGGUGAAAUGCGUAGAUAUCAGGAGGAACACCGGUGGUGUAAACGGCUUUCUGGACCAUAACUGACACUGAGGCACGAAAGCGUGGGUAGCAAACAGG
rnacentral:rRNA from 1 species